rnacentral:rRNA from 1 species
UACGUAGGGGGCAAGCGUUGUCCGGAAUCAUUGGGCGUAAAGCGCGUGUAGGCGGUUCGAUAAGUCUGCUGUGAAAGUCCAGGGCUCAACCCUGGGAUGCCGGUGGAUACUGUCGGACUAGAGUACGGAAGAGGCGAGUGGAAUUCCCGGUGUAGCGGUGAAAUGCGCAGAUAUCGGGAGGAACACCAAUUGCGAAGGCAGCUCGCUGGGACGUCACUGACGCUGAGACGCGAAAGCGUGGGGAGCA